AAAGAGUGUGAAAGAAAUUAUUCCAGUGCGAGAUUGCAUGCAAUGAGGGCAAGCCUGACUGGGUUAACAGCAAACUUGGAAGCUCAAAAGGAAUUUAUGCCUGUGAAAAGAUUACGCCUAACUCAAUUGAGACACGAAGCUCGUUUAGGGAAUCGCUAUUCUGCUAUGCAAGGACUGCCUGGAAAAUAUAGAUGAGAUUUGGUAGUAAGCAUUUUAAAGGGCUAGGAUGUAUACAGAACGAGUCCUACAAGGCUGAUAUGGAAAAUUUAUGUUGCCAUAUGUAAUACUUUUUUGAUGAACAUAUCUAUGUACACCCAAUGAGGCCAUGACACGCGACAAACUUUUUAUUGGCUUUAUUCGGUAGAAACCUUGAUUAGCUCAUAUGAAUCACAAAAGGAUUGCUUCUAA